AUCGUAAGUUAUGCCUCUCUCGAUUACAUGAACAAGUGAAUAUAGAUGUAAUAGUUAAAUCAUCCAAAACGCUCCAAUAAUAAAACUAGAGUUAUAAUCCGCAAACAAAUAUCAAUACAUCAAAUCCAUCAAACCCUAAAGGGAACUACUCCAUAGAAAUGGAGCAAUUCAUCACAAAUAUGUUUAAAGUAAAUAAAAAUAUAAAACGAUCCAAAUUCAGGUCUUAAGUGAGGAUUGAAUGAUGAACUCCUUGUGCUUUUGCUUCUCCAACUCCUCCUUAGCCUCCUUAGGUCUUCAAUAUGUCAAAAAGUUCAGAAAAUAAUGUUUUUCCAUGUAUUUAUACCAAGUAGGUCGGGCCGAGACAAAAUCACCUUCUCUUAGCCGAAAUAGGAUUUUCACUCCAUAAAAAUUGCACAAGCGCGCCGCAUGGGUUGGCGCGCCAUGCGAGAAAUUAGUGGGGAAAUCUAGAGAGUUGAUUUCUGACAGACAGGAGGAAAAUGGGCAGUCGCAGUGCCCCACACGCCGCCCCAUGCACCGCGGCUGUGGGCUUUCCUCACUUUAUGAUAUCCAGAUAUGGUUUUCGACCCCCGAACAUGAUCUCGGCUUAAUCCAUUGGGCUUUUACUCAAACUUCAAAGCUACAAAUAGCUCGAAUUUAUUCCGUAAUAUCUACAUAGCCCGGAAUUACUCUACAAGGCAUAAAACACACAAUAAGUACAAAACACUAGCGAUUAAAGCUCAAACACAAUAAAAGUACAGUAAAUUAGAGUACAAUAAGCGACUAAAGCAUGAUAUUAUAGCCUACCAUCACUAUGCGGUGCGGAAGAUUCAUGGGAGUGUUUCUCGUAAGUUGAUUGUGUAUGAGGGAUGUGUCAGUUAUUUGAGUGGUGGAUUUUGGAUCGAAUAUGGAGAUUCUUGUAUCCUUGGGAUUUGGAGACUAGGAGAUCGCAUAAGCAAAUUAUUCCUUGGUUGCAGACGUUGAAGGUAUGUUAAGAUUUAGACAGCUGAUGGUAUAUGUUAUGGAUAGGUUUUUGCAAGGUGAUUUAUCUAUUUUGAGAUAAUUGGAAUUGAUUUGGGGGCCCAUUGUGUAGGCCUAAUGAGAAUGUGUAUUCUACGUAGGAUCGGGUUUGUUUACUCAGCACAGAUAUUGUUGAGGGGUGUGUCAUCAACUAGAGUUGAUCUUAUUCAUGUUCUAAUGUGUUUCAUAUGUUACUAUCUUAUACUAUGACGCAUUGUGAGACAUUUUGACUAUUUAUGCACAUGAGGCGGUUGUGUUUGGGCCUUGUGGCAAAAUUCAAGUGAGAGGGCCCUUGGGGUGUUGAAUGGUCGAUUACGCCUUAGUUAUUAUUUUCCUAUAGGUGGUAUAUUGUACUAUCUGAUCCUCCAUGGUUAUGGUCAUGUGCUUCACAUGCUUGUUGUUGAUAUACAUGUGUUUGGUGAGUUUGGGAAUUUAGGCAAUAGGUAAUGCAUGUGGACCGGUAUGUUUGGAUUGGGUUACGCGCUGCAGCGGAGUUAUUAUAGGAUAUGAUCCUUUGUGCUUAUUGCGUAUGUUUCUUUUCUCUCCUGUGAAACAUGUUCAUAGCAUUGCACUUUAUGGAUGUAUCUGUUGAGCUUUUAGGGCGGUUCUCUCAUUCAAUUCUCCUUCCACCAUUUGUUACAUUAAGGUCGUUACUUGUUUGAUGCACAAAUUGUGUUGUACGUAGCUCUGGGUGUCAUUGGUGCGGCCUAUUGAUCGAAUAUGUUAUACUGGAUAAGAUUAGGUUAUUGAACCACGAGUGAGUUAUUAAUAUGUUAUUAAUGUAUUUUCUGAAGAUUAAUAUGAGAAGCCAACUUAGAAUUCAGUUACGGUUCCUGGUAGGCAAGAGAGCUUUACGAUUUGUUGACCUGAUGAUUGGUUAUAAGUUUCUUAGUGUUUUAUUCAUACUUGGCAGUGUACAAAGUUUUAGAAUAAGUUUUUGUUUGAUAUGAUGUAUGCCGUCGGUACCGGGUUUGUUAAUGAGAAUCUAUGGUGGUCAAAUAUUAGUGCCAUGUGUAUCUGAGUUAUGUGGUAUAUCAUGUGAUAAUAUUUUUGAAUAUGGUCGUGGAAAAAGGUUAAAGAAAGGAUCUUCAGUUAGGUUGUGUUGUCGGGUUUAUAUAGAUUCGGGUGACGUGGGAUCACCCAUUGGUAUGUGUAUGACGAGUUUAUGUAGUAAUUUGAUGGCUUCAAAAUGACUCUUGGCACGUUCGAAGAUGAACACAUCUUUAAGUGGGGGCGAAUGUAACAACCCGACCGAUCAUUUGGAGCAUUUGCAUUCCAUUCAAUGGUUUGAGACCUGGAGUAGCUUCAUAUGAUAUAUUAUGACUUGCGUGUAUGGUCGUUUUUGAUUUUUGAAUGGUUCGUGAUUAAUUGGGAAGAAUGCUUCUCAAUUUUAAAGCAUUAAGUUGGAGGAGUUGACCAAGUUUGACUUUUGUGUAUUUGACCUCAGAUAAGUUUCAAUGGUUCCACUAGGUUUGGAUGGUGAUGUUUGACUUAGGCGUAUGCCCGGAUUCGUAUUUGGGUAUUUCUAGAGGGUUUUGGCUCUAUUUGGCAAAAGUUGGCAAUUCGAAGGAUUGAAAAGUUUAUAGGUGUAAUGGUGAGUUGACUUUGGUGUUAUCGGGUUCGGAUUGUGAUUCGAGGAGUUGGAAUAGUUAUGUUAUUUCAUUUGAAACUUGUGUGCAAAAUUUGAGGUGAUUCCGAGUUGUUUAGACAUGUUCGACGUAAGUCUGAAAUUUGUAAAUUCGAAACAAUUUAUUAAGCUUGAAUAGAGAUGUGAUUCAUGGUUUUGAUGUUAUUUUGUGCAAUUUGAGGCCUCGAGUAUGUCCAUAUUAUAUUUUGGUUCUUGUCAGUAUGCUCGGACAGGUUCCUGAGGGGCUCGGGUGAGUUUUGGGGUGGUUUCGAACCAUUUUCUCUCAUGAUUGCAUUGCUGGUUUCUCUAUUUUUCUGGUGAUGAGAGUGUUCAUCACGAUCGCAUUGAGAGGGUCACGAUAGCGUAAGUAUUCUGGGAGCUGGUUGGGUGCUCUUCUUAGCGUUCGCGGGAGUUGAGGCUGUAAGCUUUCGCAUUCAUGUAUAGGACCACGCGUUCGCACAAUGUUGAGUUAGGCUUGGCAAGUCAUGUUGGUUGACCUUUGCGUUCGCGUGUGGAUGCAGCAUUUGCAUUGGUCUGUGUAGUUGUGUAUCGCGAUCGAGAGCCUGGGGCCGUGAACGCAUAGUGUAUUUUCUGGCAGUGUUCAUUUAGUGCUUCAUGAUCGCGAAGUAGGUCCCAUUAUCACAAAGGAUUUACCUGAAGUAGUUGUAUAAGUUUAUAUUUUCAGACUUUGAGUUCAUUUUACCAUAUUUUGAGAUAGGGAGCUCGUAUUUGGGCGACUUUUGAAGGGAUUUGCACCGCAUGGAUUUGGAUAAGUGUUCUUUACUCGGUUUUGAUUAUUAUUCAUGAUUCUAUCUUUGAUUUUGGCAUUUGACUGGUGAAUUUAAAAGAAAAAAUUGGGUUUUUAGUCAAAACUUUUCAAAGUGAAUAAUUGGAUUUGGAUCAUCGAUUCGUAGUGGGAUUUGGAUGAAACUUGUAUGGUUGGACUCGCAUUCGAAUGGGUUAUCGAAAUUUGUGAGUUUUAUUGGGUUCCGAGGAACAAGCCCAUGUUGACUUUUUGGUUGACUUUGUAUAUUUGAAUAUAUAUUCUACCUUUAUUGUUUGUGUUUGAUUUUUAUCGCAUUUUUUGAUGUUUUUGAGUUGCUUUUGGCAAUAUUCGAGUCGUUCGGAGGUUGAUUCGCGCGAGAAGACAUUUAUAGAGUGUUGGUUUGGCUUGCUUGAGGUAAGUAUCUUACCUACGCUUAGUUGAGGCACUAGUUGCCUAAGUUAUUAGUGUUGGCUAUGCGCUAAGGGUGGCGCACAUGUGAGAGGAUUGAGUCCAUGUGCGUGCACCGGGGUAUUAUCCAUGCUCGAGAUAGUGAUUAGGCUACUAUGUGCCUUGAAUUGAUUUCUAAGUUUCAUGUUAUCAUGUUUUUCCUAGGUUGUACCCCUUUGUGAGUUAAUUGAAGCAUGUUAGAGAUUAUUGGUUGGCUGAUCUUCUGUUCAAACAUGUUAAUUGCUAUUCUUGUGGCGUACUCACCUUAUUUGAACUUUGGUAGUACACUUCGCACAUGCCUGCACCUUAGCAUGUCACUUAUAUCAGUCCAUGAGAGUGUCAUUUGAUAUCCAUUGUUCAUGUACAUGUAUUCCAAUAUAUGCUUUAUGUGUGAUAUGGAAUGGGUUAAUAGCAUGUGAGUUGUCCGUGCAUAUCUGAGUUAUGUUGGCAUUUGAGUUGUUCGUGCGGUGGUUAUAUAUUGUACGUGAGUUGUUCGUGCAGCAUGUGGAUAAGGAUUCAUCCCCCACGAUCAGCCUUUCGUGUAUCUCUCUUGAAGGUGUACACGCGGUAUGAGGAGAACUGGCCAGUGUAUGUUUUGGUUAUUGCAUUUCUUCUCUACUUGCAAUUUCCUUAGAUGUAUACAUGAUUUUGCUGCAUCUCUUCUCUAUUUUCUAGAUCUAGAGUGAAUACAUGCCUUUAUGAAUAUCUUCUCCAUAUGCUACCUUACUUGAUGAGAUGAGACACGGCACAUAUCUUGAUGACUUUACUUGUUUAAUCAUGCAUAUCUCCUCUAUAUGCAAUUGUUGAAGGAUUAAUUGAGAUUCCAUUCUUAUCUUCUCUAUAUGAAACCGAUGAACGAUUAUCUGGUAUUUCACGCAUAUCUUCUCUAUAUGUUGGAUUGUUAACUGAAACAGAGCAUGUCACAUUAUCUUUGUGCACCGAGGUGACCAUAUAUAUGAUUUAUGACUUGAUAAUAUUAUUGUUGUGUACCUGUGAUUUAUGAAUUGAGCAGGUUAUUAUUGAGUAUCAUUAAUAAUCUUUGCCACUAUUACCUCACUGAAGUUAGUUAUGAUACUUGCUAAGUGCAUGGGGUCGGUUGUAUUCAUACUAUGCUUCUGCACCUUGGGUGUAGAUCUUGGAGCUAAGAUGCUAUAGAUGACGAGAGUUGGCAUUGAAGAUGUACCUGCUUUUCCGCAUAUAACUACCAUUUGUCCUUGGUAGUUUUAGAUUCUUACUCUAUUUAUGUAUAUUCCAAAUAGAUAUUAUAUUUAUUUUCGUAACAGCUUUGUAAAUCUAAAUGUUAGUGGCUCGUGACUUAUACUACCAAUCCUUGAGUUAUUUUAUAAAAACUUAGUUAUUUUAUUUAUUGAUUAUUUGUGAUCUUAGUUAUAGUGGUGUUGACUAUUGUUUGGCUUUUCUAGCGGGUUGGGUAGGUGCCAUCACGACUAGGUAAAUUUUGGAUCGUGAUAAAUACCUCUCUCGCAGCUUCUCUAAUAUGGUUCGUUAUCAUGGUCCACAAAUAACUUGCGUCCCCACUACUCCUCUAGCCCCCACAACUAGUAGCUUCUCCCCCAACUCCUAGGCUUUGUCCUUAAAGAAGAAAGAAGAAGAAGAAGAAGAAGAAGAAGAAGAAGAAGAAGAAGAAGAAGAAGAAGCCGAAGAAGAAAUCAAAAGGCUCCUGGAUACAUAGAACAUGAAUAUAGAGAAGAAAAAAGUAGCAGCAAAGCUCUUGGAUACAUGUGACAUGAAUACAAAGAAGAAAAAAUUAGCAUCGAAGAAGAAGAAAAAAGUGUAUGUAUCUGAAGUAACCCAAAAUUUAAUAUCAGUUAAACUUUUUUUUAAAAGUGGAUAUAGGUUAAAAAUGGGGGUGAUCAAGCCCCAUGAAAUUUUUACUCAUGAACAGGAUAGAGGUCUAUAAAUUUCUAGUAAAGGGAUUUAUCAUUCAAUUUAGAGGAAUUUAAUUAAAAAAUAUAUAUAUGUUUAUAAAUCCUUUACUUUAGAGGAAUUAACAAAAUAUAUGUUUAUAAGUAUAAUUAAACAAACAAAAAUAUUAGUAAGGGCAAACUAGUCAAGCUAUAAUUCUUUUACAUUAAUCAAAAUAUAUUAAAAUAAUUAUUAUAAAUAAAUCAAAUAAAAAAAUAAACGUAAUAUCAUAAACCACACGAAAAGUGAGAGUGAUAAAUUAAAACGUAAGGGAAGGCCUUUGAAAUUAUUCGUAAUUUUUAUUAUGAUACCAAUUAGUUUCACCUGCCUUACAAAGAAAAUAGUGAAUAAUGGACCGUUUUUUAUUUAAAUUUUUGGUUCUUCCAUCUUGAUCCUUGUAAUGUGGCUCCAAAUGAAGGGCAGGAGGGUACCAUUAGUAGUGCAUUACGUAAUUAAUAUAUAAAUAUUUCUACUUGAUCAACUGUAUCCUAUACUUCCAUGUUCCAUGCCCUAUAACAUCAUCAAUUCCCUUCAUUUAUAUAAAGGAAGAGAUCUAAAUUAUUAAUUCUCUUGGUUUUCAUUUUCUUCUAAAACCUAUUCGCUAAUCUAAAUAAUAUUGUCCCGUUCCAUUGUUUUUACUUAAACAUCGUAUUUAUUUAUUGUGAUAUCAAUAUCUUACAUUCGUUUGUAUUUCUUAAGAACUUUUGUGACGAUUUUAAGUCACUCUACCUUUUUAUUUACACUUUCAGACUGAGAUUCAGAUUCUUUCACAUAAAUAUUUUUGCGACAAUAUCUUAUCAAGUCGAAUUUUUGAAUGAUAAAAAGAAUUGCCACAAGACUCACAUGAAAAUUAUGUGUGUGCGUGUCUUAAGAUCACAAUAAGGAAGUAGUCCCUAGGAUAGACCCUAUAGCUUGCCCCUCGCUGUGUUUCCCCCCCCCCCCCCUUUUUCUGGGUAUAACUUUAGAGACACUAACUAGCAACACAUUUUUGGAUAGAAAUGGACGCAACAGCGACUUGUACAAUUGAGCUUUCAGUAGACAUAUUUUUUCCCGCUUAUAUCAGUGUUCUCCUUCAAUUAAUAAUAUUUGUGUAGUAUAGCAUAAAAUGCUUAGUUACGGUUUAAUUGAAUUCCUUUUUCGUUUAUCUUCUUUAAUAAAUAUCAAUUUGGAGGCAAUGACGUACUGAUAUUUAAUUGACUAAGUUUCAGGUACGUACUAAUUAUAAUGGUGCCUUUCACGUAAUAGCAACAUGCGAGUCAGGUUUCAAUCUAAAAGCAAAUGAAGAUUACCUCCAUAUUGUUUAAUAUUCAGUAUUUGGAGAAGAGAAGGGCAUCAUGUACUAAUAGACUAACUCAGAUUGACCAAUCAAUGAGUUGAACCCACAAAAUUGAUUUCAAAGAUAUAAACUUAUUGUGAAAAUUAGGCUGCAUAAAAUUAGUCGUUACCCUUUCACCUUUCCCUUUUGUCUAAACUAAUUAACCACCGACGCUUGUCAUCUGCCAAGCUCAAAAAAAAUUAAAACCAUAAUAUGAAAAACUUUUAACAUACCAUGCAUAUCUUUAUCUCUACUAUCCAGAUAAAAAUUCGCGGAUGUACUUUAAAAAUCCCGGAAAGUUUCCAUCUGAGGAACGUUUCUCCAAACUUUCGGUGUUUUUUAAAGUACAUCUACAAACUUAUUUUUUCGCAUAAGUACAUAAGCGGAUGUAACCUUAUUGUCUGGCGCUGAAACAGAACUUUUGACGCGAAAUAUAGAUAUAUACGUAAAUAUUUACUUAAAUCUCAACAAAUAUUAGAUGUGAAUUCAUAAUUAUAAUAGCACAAAGAGUUCAAUGCAAAAUUAAACCAAAUAAAUAUAAAUCUUUGAUUCGUCUCUGCUCGAAAUGUAGAAAUUGAAGAAGCUUCUUGUUAUGCUUGCUUUCUCCAAAAUGUUUUUGCUAAACUUCUAGUAUCAAAAAGAAGUUCCUUCCUGUUGAGUAUUGAAGCUUUGAUGAUUAACAAAGUAGAUCUAAAUGCAAUAAUUCAAAGAACUAGGUCCUGAACGUAGUUGCUUAAUUGUUCUAAAGAACUAGUUUCUCAUGUUGAUAAUUGUACGUCCGUACAAGACAAUAACUUUAUCUCAAAGUUACCCAGGUCCGAGUUUGGUGGAAGAAGGAUGCUAUAUGUGAUAAGGGUUGUUGCUCAAGAAUAUACGGAUAAUUCCAUCAGGGACAGAAGUCCCAAAGCUUGUGGAAUCCUUGGAACAGUAGGGUUGUUGCUCAAAAAUAUCUGUUUUUAUCCUUUUACACAUCAACUGAAGAGUCAUAAGUUGUUUACUCCAAUCGAGUACUUGUACUAUAUUCUUUUUGAGUCAGUCUAGUGAAUGUGUUUUAGGAAAUUGAGUUGGAAUCAAGGGUCAUAAAAAAUUGGUGAGUUGGAGUGAGUGUUUGCUUUACAAGUUAGAGUAACUUGUAAAUCAAAUAGCCGUAGCAGGAGUACUGGAUAGUAUUGAAUUGCAGUCUUAUAAUUGAUACAUUUUUAGCUCAUUGUUCUAGUGGAGUUGAUGUUGAAAAUCCUACGUAGUUAGUCGUGGUUUUUGCACCAUUUGAGCCGGGUGAUUUUUCACGUAAAAAUCGAUGUGUUUACUUUACUGCUUAUUUACUUCACAUUUAAGAAACGUGGCAAAGAAUCUAGUUCUUUAGUAAUUCAUAUGGACACUCAAACUAACAAUUGGUAUCAGAGCUGGUUCUGUCAUUCACACACGGCUAACACCUAGAGAGAUCUUGGAAGCAACAUGAGUGAUCCAACUAGAAUUAUUGAAGGACAAACAACUACCAGGCCUCCCAUGUACAAUGGAAAAUAUUACAGUUGGUGGAAAGCAAGAAUGGAAGACUUCCUAACGGUUAAAGACUAUGAAGUAUGGAUCGUAGUGAACCAAGGUCCAUUGACUCCUACUAAACAAAAUGCAUAAAAUGAAACAGUUCCUAAGGACCCCUCUGAAUUUGUAGCAGCAUAUUUCAGAAUGAUGGAGAAUAAUGCAAAAGCUAAGAAAAUCCUUAUGACUUGGUCCUGAUGAGUACAAUAGAAUUUCUGCGUGCUCUAAUGCAAAGCAGAUAUGGGAUGCACUCCAAACUGCUCAUAAAUGAACAAACCAAGUGAAGAGAUCAAUGAUAGUGCUACUUAUGAGAAACUACGAGCUCUUCUCCAUGAAGGAGUAUGAGGCCAUCCAGGAUGUGAUGACUAGGUUUACUAUAAUAACCAAUGAACUGAAACUAUUUGGCAAGGUGUUUACCUCAGAAGAGUUGGUUUGCAAAGUUCUAAGAAUCCUUCCAGCUUCAUGGGAAUCAAAAGUCACUGCAAUCCAGGAAUCCAAGGAGCUGGACAAAAUCUCACUUGAUGAGCUGGUUGGAAACUUAAAAACUCAUGAAAUGAAAAAGAUAGAACUGCGCAAGCAAGAACCAAAGAGGGAUUUGACCAUGGUUCUUAAAGCGUUUGAGGAUGGUGAAUCUGAAAAUGAUGAUCCUGAUCUAGCAAUGUUUGCCAAGUUCAAGAGGUUCAUGAAGAACUCCAAAAGUGCAUCCAAGAGAGAGGCCAUUAGUAAGCCUAAGCAGAUCGACAAAGCUAACUAUGAUGGGUGCUACAAGUGUAGCAAGUUAGAUCACAUGGUCAAGGACUGCCCAAUGUAAAAAAUUGAGUAGAGAAAAGAACAAGCUGAAAAAGAGAAACGGGAAAAGAUGAGAGAAAAUGGAUCCAGCAAAGGAAAAAUCCUAGGCAAAAUAUUCACUGAAGCAAUGAAGCAAGCUUUCUUGGCAGCAUAUGAGGAUAGUGGAAGUGAUAAAGAGGAAGAAAAAGAGGAUGAGGCUAUAAGUCUCUAUGGUGUAAUUGAUGAACACCGGGCUGUGGAGAAAGAUCCCCCAGUAUAGCUUGGAAUGCAUAUUUGAAGACCCCCUUUGUUUUAUGAACACCACUAUGAUGAAUGGAAGCUACAUAUGGAAAUAAUUCUUCAUGCCACUGACUUUUACAUAUGGGUAAUUGUCAGUCAAGGACCAAUUCUCCCAACCAAAAUGGAUAGUGAAGGUAACAAGUGAAACAAAAGAGAAGAUGAAUGUGAUGAGGAAGAUCGUCGGCUAUUUUAGAAAAAUGCUAAAGCAAAGGACCUGCGCUAUAGAAGCUUGUCCAAAACACUCUCUUCAGAUUGUCCUCUUGCAUCUCUGCUCGUGGUAUAUAGAGGACCUUGGAAGCUGACUAUGGACAUGAAGAUGUCGAAGUGGCAUUGAUGGCGAUUGAAGAAUCCGAAACAGAGGAAAAAGUGAUAGGAAUGAUAGCCAUGAGUGAUUUAAAAACUGAAGAUGAAACAAACCAGGUAAGUAUAUCUAACUAGAAAGAAAACAUUCAUGCUAAGUCUAUAAAAUAAUUGAUCGCCAUAAUUGUGACCUUGAUGAAUGAAGUGGAUAAAAUGAGUACUGAAAAUUUUGAGACAUAACAAAAUUGAACCAUAAUUAGGAAGAUAUUCUUGGUCUCAGCUCAUUUGAGCAUUUUAUCAGACAACAGGUGUGCAAAUUUAACCACAAGGUUCUUCUACAAGAUUUCCUUCACUCCACAACCCAAUCCUUACUUAUUUCAGCUCAACAAUCUUUCCACAAUUCUUAUUGGUACAUGUAUGUAUAAAUAAUAAUCUCAUACCCAUGAAUCAUACUCCUAAUCAACCAUCUUCUACCCAAAUUCGAAAUUGAAAACUAGGGUAUGGAACCUUAACUCUUUGAUGAAGAACUUGUGGGUUUUCCUUGUUAAUCUUCCAAGAUUUGAGCAAUACUUGAUGAAUAAUUAGCCUAGGGUUUCCCCUCUCUCUAAAACACUCUCCCUUCUCUCUAAAACAUCAAAAUAUUUGCUCAAAAAUGACCCUUUGCGUGUAUUUAAUGAAGUAGGGUCGGGUUGUAAGAACACAAAAUAGAGCUCCGGAACAGGUUCGGUGAUAAUGGAUAUGCGGACCACAUAUCGGUUGCAUAAUUACAGACCAAAACGAUCAAAAAUCUGUCAGUGUAUGCGGUCACUAUGCGGUCCGCAUAACUGUUAUGCGAUCGCAUAAUGCACCGCAUAACUGUUAUGCAAUCGCAUAGUCGACCGCAUAACUGCCCCCAGACUGGCCCUUCUCCUGCUCACUUCUGCAGCCAUUAUGCGGCGUGCAGAGUGGUUCUGCGGUCGCAUAAUGGACAGCAGAAAUGCGUUUUUCUGCCAAAAAGUUUCCUUUACUUUCUGGUGCAUUGUUCAACCUAAAAAGUCUGAACCGCGGUGAGCAAGCUCUACGUGAAGAUUUUAUACCAUCCUCAAACACGUAAGCCUACUCCGGCACCACUAAACCUUGAAUUCACUUGCGAAAUAUACGGGGCUUUAACUAAAAUACUUUAAAAUUUUCCGGGGUGUUACAAUAACGCAUAUACCUAUGCAUGGUAUGGCAUUUAUACGCAUAUGUGUGACAUUAUAAAAAUGAAAUGAUUCACAGAGCUAUGCAAACAUACAUGUCGAGUCUUUUACUCCAUAUUUCUCUCAUGUCUAUUAUUUACUGAUUUCCAUUCCUUACAUACUCGGUACAUUAUUUGUACUGACGUCCCUUUUGCUUGGGGAUGCUGCGUUUCAUGCCCGCAAGUCCCGAUAGACAGGUCGAGAGCCCUCCAAGUAGGCUAUCAGCUCAACGAAAGAUGUUGGUACACUCCAUUUAUUCCGGAGUUGCUUAUGUGGUCACUAUGAUUAGGACAUGUACAGAUUAGUAUGGUGGGGCCCUGUCCCGACCUUUGUGACAUUUAUGUACUCUUAGAGGCUUGUUGACAUAUGUCGUGUACGUGAAAGAUUGUACGUCCUUGUCGGCAUAUGUUUUGAGUUUAUAAAUGAUGAUGUUGGUGUAUUAGGCUCGUAUGUCACGUGUAUAUGAUGAUAUAAUAAGAAAGAUACGCUACGUUGGUACUCAGUUGAGUAAGGUACCGGGUGCCUGUAGCGGCCCGUCGGUUUGGGUCGUGACAAGUUUUCAUUCAGCCAAUUCAAGGCAUCAAAAGAUCAAUUCCAUUUACUUAAUCUAGUGAGCUCAUAAUUAGCCUUUCUAGAUUUUCCUCCUAGAUUUUAUUUUUAUAUUCAGCAUCACAAAGAUUAUCUUUAGCACUUUUUAAUUCCUUUUUAUAUUUAACGUGCAUAUCACUCAUUUUUCCUUUACCAUGUAUAUUAGGAGACUUAUCAUUCUUAGAAGUAAACUCAAGAGCCUGGUUCUCGAGGUCUUUGGCCUGCUCCUCUAAAUUAGCUUUGUCAGAUUCAAGCACUUUGAUAUCAAGUUUGAAACAUGAAAGAUUACUUAUUAGUUGAUCAUUUGCAGUACUCAUUUUAUCCAUUUUAUUCCUCAAGGUCACAAUUAUGGCCAUCAAUUAUUUUUCAGAGAUAGCAUGAAUGUUUUCUUUCUAGUUAGAUAUUCUUACCUGGUUUGUUUUAUCUUCAGUUUUUAAAUCACUCAUGGCUAUCAUUCCUAUCACUUCUUCCUCUGUUUUGGAUACGUUAAUCGCCAUCAAUGCCACUUCGACGCCUUCAUCUCUAUAGUCAGCUUCCAAGUUCCUCCAUAUACCAUGAGCAGAGAUGCAAGAGGAAACACUAAAGAGAGUGUUUCUGGACAAGCUUCUAUAGAGCAUGUCCUCUGCUUUAGCAUUUUUCUGAAAUAGGUGACGAUCUUCCUCAUCGCAUUCCUUUUCUCUUUUGUUGCACUUGUUACCUUCACUAUCCAUUUUGUUAGGAGAAUUAGUCCUUGACUGACAAUUACCCAUAGGUUAAAGUUAGUGGCCUGAAGAUAUGUUUCCAUACGUAGCUUCCAUUCAUUAUAGUGGUGUUCAUUAAACAAAGGAGGUCUUCCAAUGUGCAUUCCAAGCUGUACUGGGGGAUCUUUCUCCACAGCCCGAUGUUAAUCAAUUACAGCAUAGAGACUUAUAGCCUCAUCCUCUCUUUCUUCCUCUCUAUCAUUGGUUACAUGGUUAGAUCUUAUACUUAAUACAUUGCACCUUAGUUUUUGUUGAAUCAUUCUAACAAAUACACAGAAAACAUCAAAGGUUUCAUCUUUAGAUCCCCAAAAUAAAGUCUACAUAUACCUUUUUAGAAGGAGUUCAUGUGAAGGAGUUCCAGAGGUUUUGAAGUACUAACAACCUUUUUAGAUUUAAAGGAUAAACUUACAUGUUUCCCUCUAACACAUGCAUCACACACCUUGUCAGAGGAGAACUCAACUUUAGGUAGCCCAAGGACCAAGUCCUUUGCUGCCAACUGGUUGAGUUGAGAGAGAAUGGCAUGUCCCAGUCUUCUAUGCCAUAGAAGUGGAUCAUCUUUCACUACACUCAAGCAUGUCUGCUCACUCUAGGAAAGUGACAUAAUUGAUAUCUUGUAGACAUUGUUAAGCGUGUGUGCUCACUCUAGGGAAGUGACAUAAUCGAUAUCUUGUAGACAUUGUUAUGUCUCUUACCAUUUAAUACAAUUUCAUCAGUAUCAAGCUUAGUGACAGUGCAAAUUUUGGAAUUGAAUUUUACCUUAUUUCCUGUGUCGCACAUUUUAGAGAUGCUAUGAAGAUUGUGUUUAAGACAUACCAUAUAAUACACAUCUUCUAUAGAAUGAGAGAGUGACGUACCAACCUUGCCAAUACAUGUUAUCUGGCCUUUUUUUCCCAUUUCCAAUUGACACACUCUCUCCAUGGAAGGUUGUUAGUGAGAGAAAGUUUUUCUUUUCUCCAGUCAUAUAUCUUGAGCAUCCAUUGUCUAGAUGCCAGUCAUGAUUGUUCCCUCUCACCUUAGCCAACACCAGAAUUCACAAGUUAGUUUUGGGAACCCAGACAAACUUGGGUCCCUUUUUGUUGGAAAAAGUAUGAAUCAGAUCCCUUCUUGCCUAUAAGGGGAAUGGAUUAGAAUCCAUUUUCUUAAACCUUAAUCCAAUUAGUAUGGAUAAGAGGAUUGAAAUUUGGCUCCUCUUCCUUCUUCACAAUUUUAGCAAUACCAAAGGUGCUUCUAAACUGAGCAUCAAUUAAUGCAGGACAAGUGUCUCUAAAGUAUCCUACCUUUCCAGAAUGAGUGCACAUGUUAUUAUCAGAGAUUCCUACAUACUUUGGGUCAAACAUAGGAACAGAUUUUUUUUAGCCAAUUCUAGAUUUGUUAGAGUUACAUUUUUCAUUCAGCCAAUUCAAGGCAUGAAAGGAUCUAUGCCAUUUACUUAAUCUAGUAAGCUCAUAAUUAGCCUUUUCUAGAUUUUCCUCCUGAAUUUUAUUUCUAUAUUCAGCGUCAAAAAAAUUAUCUUUAUCACUUUUUAAUCCCUUUUCAUGUUUAACCUGCAGAUCACUCAUUUUUCCUUUACCGCGUAUAUUAGGAGAAUUUUUAUUCUUAGAAGUAAACUCAAGAACCUGUUUCUUGAGGUCUUUGGCAUGUUCCUCUAAAUUAUCUUUGUCAGAUUCAAGCUCUUUGAUAUCAAGUUUGACACAUGAAAGAUUGCUUAUUAGCUGAUGCUAAGUAUCUUGCCUAGUUUUGUUGGGGGAGUUUUUCUUACUAAUUGAUAUUGUAUGCUACAUUUGGGGGUAAUGCAUAUAGAAGGUGACAAGCGUAUAUGCAUGUGCCAAGGUUUUCAUGCUCGGGAGGGGAAAAAUAUAUGCUUCUUUAUGCCAUUGUUGAACUUGAUAUCCCUUAACAUAUGCUUCAUAUAAUUCAAUGACUAAUAAAAUCAAUUAUCUGCGUUAGAAAUCAUGUUAAAAUAUAUGACAUCUUAAAAUGCAUUUAAUGUGCUAUUUUUGAGAUUCGUCUGCGUACUUAACUUGAUCGUAGUAUCAGGAACCUAUAUCUAUACAGGUUCUUGUCAUGUUACUUGAUCUUCUUUAGUCAUAGUAAGUGAUGAUGAUUGGGGCCUUAGGGCUAUGUUUGGCACGACAGGUAAUUCUGUGCGAUUGAUAUGAUGUUGGCAUGAUGAGUAUUUCUGUGCGGUUAGAAAUGAGAUUGCUUUAUUGGUUAUUACCGUGUGAAAAGAAAAGAAGUUGGAUUUCUGUUAAGAUUACUCAUUUGUUAAACAUUUACAUGCUCGUUACUUUGGUUUUAUUAAUAUUCGUUAUUCCAUGUGAUACCUCCCGUUUGAGUUCUUUUUGUAGUAACCUUUGUAUUUUCCAUCUGGCAUGUUAUUGUUAUAGCUAUGCGUUAACCUUGUCUUUUACUGUUACACCUAUGCUUUGAUUUAAUUUACUUCUGCUACAUAUCCUCUUCGAAUUCAUGCAUUUACUUGUUAUGAGAUCAUACUUGUUACAUGCCUCUAAUUGUCACGUGAUUUACUUGUUAAAUGCCUUAAUCUGCUACAUGUCUUCACUCACUACAUUCUUUCACUUACUAUAUGUCUUCACUUACUAUAUGCUUUUACUUACCAUAUGCCUUCACUGAUUAAAUGCUUUUGCUUGCUACAUGAUUUCAUAUAUUGAAUGCCUUCAUUCGAUCCCUGUUCUUACUUGAUAAACAUCUUAACUCAUUUCAUGUUCUACUCUCUUUUGUUAAUCGGAUUGGGUGACUUUUAGACUGGUUAUGUGUUAUUCUUUUUAGAAGCCUUGUGAUUAUAUACGAUAAACUAGCUUUUGAUAUUGGACUGCCUAUUCUACUAUGUCUGAGUUAUAUUAUCUAGUUGAAUAGCGCGUGUUCAUUUUCUUAGUGUUACAUUAUGAAUGUAUCCCGCGUUUGGUUGUUGUUGUGAUUUCAUAAGAUAGUAUUAUAUAUUGGUAUCGGGUUGCAAGCUGCAACAGUGUUGUUAUGUAAAUGGGGAUCAGGUUGCACGCUGCAAUAGUGUUAUUAUGUAUUUUGGGAUCGGAUUGCAUGCCGCAAAAGUGUUUGAUAUAUAUGGGAUCAGGUUGCAUGACACAACAGUAAAUAAUAAUAUUGUUAUCGGGUUGCAUGCCGCAACAAUAUUCAUUAUACAUAUGGGAUCGAGUUGCGCCACAAUGGAGCAUAUGUAUUAUGGUUAUUCUUGUCUUUGAUUCCUGUUAUCGUAUUAUGUUGUGAGACUAAGGAGUGAUGAUAUUCUGGGGCCCUCUAUUAAUUGUAGCCUUGUUUCAUUUAUUACGUGAGUAUUUGUGUAUCUUUCUCGUAUUUCUCUUUUUGCUUAUCAUCUGCACAGGUAAACGCAAUAACUGAGUAUCUUUUAACUUAAAACCUCGUUACUACUUCACCGAGGUUAGUUAAAAUACUUACUGAAUACAUAGGGUCGGUUGUAAUCAUGUUACACUUCAGCACCUUGUUUGUUGAUCUUGGAGCCACGUAGCUAUGAAAGAUAAAGCCUUGCACUAAAGAUGUUCUAGCGUUCCAGAGUCAAGCUAUCUCUUGUUCAUGGUAGUUUAGGACUAAAACUCUAUUUUUGUAAAUUUCAAACAGAUAUUGUAUCUAUUCUUCAUUUCAGUUUAUAAAUCUAAAUCAUAGUGGCUCAUGACUUGUACUACCAGUACUUGGGAGGUUGUAUAGAAUUCAGCAUUUUAUUUCUUAUUAUAAAUAGUCUAUCAUUUGAGUUACAUUGUUCUAUGUUUGGGUUACCUAGUAUUAGGGUUAGGUGCCAUCAUGACUAUGUGACUUUUGUGUCGUGACAGGUUGGUAUCAGAGGAUUAGAUUUGUAGAUUCUACGAAUCAUGAGCAAGUAUCUAAUAGAGUCUUGUGGAUUGGUAUGCUGAUAUCCAUACCUAUUUUUAAGAGGCUACGAAGGGUUGUGGAUGCUUGGUUAUUGUCGUGAUGUGUUGUCUAGGCUUUGAUGUGAAUGUGUUGGUAGAUCUUUUCAGUUGUUAAUUUGUGAGGUGAAGCAGAUUCUUAUAUCUUAUCGGUGAGUGUAUUUUUAGGAGUAUUAAUCGAUUACCUAGUUUAUUGUGACCAUCAUAGGUUCAUGGGAAGGCGUUGAUUUGAGUCUAGCUGAUGGGUGGUUACCUCCCGCGUGAAGAGUUGAGGUUGCAUGUUUUGUAUGACACUUCAAUUCAGUGGAAUGCAUACAUUAUUAUUUUUAGAGCAUUUGAGGAAAUUUGUUGGACUGUCACCAGGCUGAUUAUGCACUUGGGACAGUCUUUGGAAUAUUUUAUGACCAGUGUUACAUAAGUUUAUGAUGUAUUUAACUGAUUAACAGUGAGGGGCCGGGGGCAGCUAUAAAGUAAUAAUAAUCUGGGUUACAAACGAUGUGGUCUAUGACUUCGAGUUAAGUAGGGGAGUCUGUUAUGGAUGAUCGGAUUGCAUGAUCAUGCGUUGUAUUAAUUCUUGGACUAGGAUGUGCUUAUGGAUUGGCUAUGAUUUGAGAAAGGUUUCAUCGAGGAUGAUUUUGAGCAAGGGAUUGGUGGAUGCUUGAUGUAAUGUGCCUUACGGUCUUGGGAAAUAUUCAAGUUUGAUGCUCAUUGUGGAUGCAGUGUGCAAGAAAAAGAAAUUCCUUGGUUGCUUCUUUUGGUUAUUAAGGUGUUGUCAAAGCGUGGCUUAUUCGGUUUGUAUCGGUUGUGUAGUAGAGAUUAGAGCAAGGUGGGUGACUAUCGAAAGGUUCUGAUGAGUUCAAGAUUCAUAUGUGGCAUUUGAGGAUUUUUUAAUUUGUGUAUGGUUAUAGCUCGAGAUCGGUAGUGAAUGGUAUCCGGAUUUGCGGUACUUCUAUAUCAAGAAUGAUUCUACAUAGAAGUAUUAGGGAGAUGCAAGAAACGACUUCAGAUUCGCAGAAGGUUCCUUCAGAGCGAGCAUUUCAGAUUGAGUUACUUUUGGGUUUGGUAGUCUGCGUGACUCAAAUAAGUUAGAGGAGACCAGCUCUGAUGACUUGAUUAUGUGUUAACAGGUUUUGAAGAAUUCACGAUAGUUAUGGCCACGGCUCGGGGUUGAUGUCUUCUACAUGUAUAGGAGGUGUAUUGUGUGUGGUGAAGUUCCCCUAAUUGAGUUAAAUGGAAGGUCCACGAUUGUUGAGGUGUUCAACAUGCUUGUGGUUCAGAGUUGAUUAUGAGAAUGUCGUAAUUUCACAAAUUAUCAUGAUAAAGGCGGUGCACCGUGUGGGAUUGAAAGUUGCGAACACAUGGUUGGAUUAUAAUUUCGGAGGGAAGGUCAUGAGUUCUAGACAGCACGGGUGAUUUCAGAUGUUUAAGAGAAUGCUGGCACUAUUUGAUGCUGCAUGAGAAGAGUGCACAUUUUAGAAGGCGCAUUGUAUUUUGAAUUGCGGAUUCUUGCCUAGUGUUACGGUGAUCGCCUAGUUUUGAGUUGCUUAGAUUUAGGUUUUGCUACGUGGCAUAGGAGAUCUAUAUGAGCAUUUUCUUUAGGAUGAUGGAAUAUGAAUGAAAUAUCAGCCAUUUGAGCAGUGGAGUUGGGAUCGAAUAUGAAGAUUCCAUUAUUCUUGAGGUUUAGAGACUGGAUGUUCUCACGGACAGAUUAUUCCUUGGUUAUGGACUGUGAAGAUAUGUUAAGAAUUAGUUAGCAGAUGGUAUGUGUUAUGAAUAGGUUUUUAUGGACUUUUAGAAAGUUAUUUACCUGUUUGGGGAUUAUCAGAUUUGGUUUGAUGGGGGCUAUUUCUAAGCCUAAGGAGAAUGUGUAUUCUACAUGAUAUCGGGUUUGCUUAUUCUUACGCAAUUGCUACGGUGGGUAUAUCAUCGGGGAAAAUGGAUGUUGUUCGUGCCCUGGUCUAUAUUAUGUGUUUUUCUCUUAUGAUAUGAUGGGUUGUGAGGUUAAUAUGACAAUUCACAGGCAUGUUGUAAUCCCAUUUAGGCCUUAUGGGGAAAUGGGCGAGAUGGCCCUCAUGAUGUUGAUUUGCUUAUUGCACCUUAGUUGUGCUUGUCUUUUUCCGUAUUGUAUUAUUCCUAUUCAUCUUCCCAUAGUUAUAUUUGUGCACUCUACCGUACAUGAUGUCAACUCACAUGUGAUUAGUGAGCCCGAGCAUUAUGGCUUGAUGGGUAUUCAUAUGUUGAUUGAUAUAUUUGGGAUCGGGUUGCGCGCCGCAACGGAGUUAUGUGGGAUACCCUUCCUUAUGUUUACUUCAUGUGUUUUGUUUUUCCCUUUUGUGGGAUGAGUUCCUAAAAAACCAUGCUUUUGUUACAUCAGCUGUACUCGUUGGAUAGUCCUCGUACCUUAUUUACUUUCGAUUUUUGCAUAUGUCUGAGUUAUUGCUUGUUGAUAUACGGACCGCGUUAUGUGAGGUUCUAUGUGACUUUUUGGUGUGACUUGUUUGUUGGACUGUUGGUAUUGGGCGAGACGAGGUUUCUAGACCUAGGAUUUGCACUAUGGUAUUGGCAUAAGGAAUGUAAGAAUAAUACCAUAUUUUCGCUAAGCAUUUGGCAAUGGUCCUUGUUGGAUGUGGGAGCUUCCCGACAUGCUGAUUUUAUGGGUGGUUACAAGCUUCUUCAUAUUUCAUUCAUUAUUAGCAGCAUUAUGAAGGUUCAAAACGAUAUUUCUUUUGAUAUGAGAUGUAUAACCAGUACCGGGUUUGGUGAUGAGUAGCUAUUGUGGUCAGAAGUUAUUAUUGUGAGUAUAUGAGUUAUGUGGCACAUCGUGUGGUUGGACCUUGGCAGUGUAUUGAUCGCUCGAUGUAGCUUGUUAUGGUUGAUACAGUAUGUACUUACAAAGAUCGGAUCUCAUAGGAGGUUCCGGAUGUUUGAAUUUGGUUCAACGGCCAAUGAGGGUAAGGCCGGAGGAAGAAUCUUCAGUUAGGAUCAUGCACAUUGACUAUAUGGGCCGAGGUGGCAUGAGAUCACUCAUGGGUACAAGUAUGAUGAGUUUAUUCAGCUAAUUGACGGUUUCGGAGAGACUCUUGGCACGUUCGAGUACGAACGUAUGUUUAAGUGGGGGAGAAUGUAACGACCCGACCGGUCGUUUUGAGUACUAACUUUAAUCUUAGUGUUUCGAGACCUCCCAUAGCUUCAUUUGAUAUUUAUUGAUUUGCGUGCGUAGUCUGUGUCACUUUUCUUAAAUGUUUUACGUAAAACUUUAAAGAAAAUAAAAUUUUUGACUUAAAAGAGGCUAGGGUUGACCAUGGUCAACAUUUUUAGUAAACUCGAAUUGGGUAUUUUGGCAAUUCUGGUAAGUCUGUAUGAUAUUUUUUGACUUGUACGUAUGUUUGGUUGAAAUGCGGGGUGACCCGAGCGAAUUUCGGCGCAUUAUGUGAAAAAAUUGAAAAUUUUGUUUUAAACUUGAAAAUUUGGAGUUUUGAUGGUCAAUUCUUGUUGUUUGAUGUUAUUUUGGUGGGAAUGAGCAAGUUCGUAGGAUAUUAUUAUACUUGUGUGCAUGUUUGGUUUGGAACCCGAGGGGCUCAAGUGAGUUUCGGGUGCAUUGCAUAUCAGUUUGGUACAGCAGUUGCUAGUGUCAACUUGCAGAUCUCGCAAAUGUGAGAAUAUUGCUCGCAAAUGUGAGCUUCGCUUAUGCGAGUCACUGCUCGUAUGUGCGAACGGAGCUGUGGAUUGGGCACUUUGCAAAUAUGAAGUUUUGAUCGCAAAUGCAGACUGUGGGAGCUCCGCAAAUGCGAUAUACCUAUCGCAUUUGUGAAGCUUGGGAAGGUUGGCCAGCUUCGCAAAAGCAAAGCUUAGAUCGGAAAUGUGCACAUAGGGGCAGUCGCUAAUGCGAACAUUUUGUCGCAAUUGCGACUUCUUGGGGCCUAUUGCACUGGUCGCUUUUGCGAUCAGUGUUUUGCAAAAGCUGACUACGCAAUUGCGAACAAGAGUUCGCAGUCACGAUACCUUCAACAGCGUAAAAGAGGGGGAAAUUGGGACUUAGCUCAUUUUACACCAUCUUUCAACCAUAAACACUCUAUAUACUAUUUUUGAAGAACGUUUCCAUCCCAAGUUUAUUGGUAAGCAUUUUAACUAAUUUUCAAUCAAUUUCAAUUAAUUUUCAUGAGUUUAACAUCAAAUUUAAGGAUUUCAUGGUAGAAAUUAGGGGUUUUGGGUAGAAUAUAGGGAUUUUAUACCUCAAACUAAGGUCAGAUUUCAAAAUAAAUCACAUAACCGAGCUCGGAGGUGAAUGGAUAAUCAUCUUUUGGUCCGCAUCCUAGGUUUUGUCCAAGCGGGCCCGAUGUUGACUUUUUUAAUUUAGCUAAAGAUUGAACCUUUUUCAUUUGUAGGUAGUUUCUAAAGCUUGUUCUGAAUUACUUGAACAAUAUUUGGCUAGAUUUUAUUGGUUUGGAGGCCUGUUCUAAAGGAAAAGCCGUGGUUGAUUGUUGACUUAUUUUCGAAAGAGGCCUGUUCAUUAAGUAUCUCGCUUUGGAGGCUUGUUCACUAAGUAUCUCGCUUAGCUUAGUUGGGAGAAUUUUUCUAACUAAUUGAUAUUGUAUGCUACAUGCGGUGGUGAGGCAUAUACGAGGUUAUGAGCAUAUAUGUAUGUCCAGGAUUUCCAUGUUCGGGAGGGGGAAAAUAUAUGCUUUGUUGUGUCUUUGUUGAACUUGAUGAUCCCUUAACCUAUGCUUCAUUUAAUUCGAUGACUAAUAAACUCAAUUAUCUGCGUUAGAAAUCAUGUUAGAAUAUAUGACAUCUUAAAAAGAGUUAAUAUGUUAUUUUCGAGAUUCAUCUGCAUACUUAACUUGAUCGUACUAUCAGGAACUUAUAUCUAUACAUGUUACUGUAAUGUUACUUGAGCUUCUUUUUUGUAAUAAGAGAUGAUGAUUGGGGCCUUAGGGCUAUGUUUGGCACGAUGGGUAAUUCCGUGCAGUUGAUAUGAUGUUGGCACAAUGAGUAUUUCCUUGCUAUUGGAAAUGAGAUUGGUUUGUUGGUUAUUAUCGUGCGAAAAGAAAGAAAGUUGGAUUUCUGUAAUGAUUACUCAUUCGUUAAACAUUUAUGUGCCAUUUACAUUGGUUUUAUUAAUAUUUGUUGUUACGUGUGCUACCUCAUGUUUGAGUUCCUUAUGUAGUUACUUCUGUGUUUUCCAUCUGGCCUGUUACUGUUAUAGUCAUAUUUUUACCUAACCUGUUACUGAUACACCUACGAUUUAACAUAAUUUACUUAUGCUACAUGUCCUCUUCGAAUUCAUGCCUUUACUUGAUAUUAGUCCAUACCUGUUGUAUGCCUCUAAUUGUCGCAUGAUUUACUUGUUAAAGGCCUUAAUAUGCUAAAUAUCUUCACUCACUAUAUGCUUUUACUUACUAAAUAUCUUAAAGAGUCCUAAUUUGAUUUGCUUGUGUAAUUAGUUGCUAAUAUGAUCCCUUAGGAAACCUUUAUAAUUAACCUGUUCUUAAGCAUUGUAUAUCUCUAACAUAUCUAGCUACUUCAACUAUCUAUAAGUUAUAUAAAUGUUUUACCCGAUCAAAGUUAAUAGAAGAUGAUAAAAAGCUCUACUCUAUAAAAUAUCGAAGCGUUACAAUAAGUUUUCACGUCUAUUUUUGGUUACUUUGCUUUAUAUAUAUAUAUAUAUAUUCUUUUAUUUUCGAUUAAUUGUUAUAUAUAUAUAUAUAUAGGGAAUAGAGGAUCGCUUCCAAUGGAGCUUCCAGAAUAAAUUACAAGAACACCAACCCUGGCUAGUCAUACUCUCAACAGUAGACACUAAACUACGGUCCCUUUCUACAACCCUUACGCGCCUAUCCAUCGGCUUAACCGGUUAAUAGGGACCACCGGUUAUGUUUCUAUAACCAGGGUUUACUAUCAAAAUUAAAACUGCCUGGACUAUAUUGUUCUUAACCUUAGAACUCCAUCCGAAUUGAUACAGUAUUCUUAAUAAUUAAGCAUGCUCAACAAAAUAGAUUAGGUAGACUAAGUUUAACACUUAAAUAUUUAGCCUUUCAUUUAGGCUAAAUAAAUAUCUAAAAUUUAUUAACUAAGGGAACAGUGAACCAACCUGAGACUGUCGUAUUGUGGCCAAGUGACCUUUUUUGAUUUUUAUUGCACAAAUGAAAUCUUUACAAGAGAGUAGUUACAAGAGGGAAUUCUAGAGAGAGGAGGGCUAUCUUAGAGAGAAGGCAGAGGAU
rnacentral:lncRNA from 1 species